AGAUGGCGACCGGCGCACGGGUGAGUAACACGUAUCCAACCUGCCGAUAACUCGGGGAUAGCCUUUCGAAAGAAAGAUUAAUACCCGAUGGCAUAAUUAGACCGCAUGGUCUUAUUAUUAAAGAAUUUCGGUUAUCGAUGGGGAUGCGUUCCGUUAGGCAGUUGGUGAGGUAACGGCUCACCAAACCUUCGAUGGAUAGGGGUUCUGAGAGGAAGGUCCCCCACAUUGGAACUGAGACACGGUCCAA
rnacentral:rRNA from 1 species